rnacentral:rRNA from 1 species
UGGGGAAUAUUGCGCAAUGGGGGCAACCCUGACGCAGCAACGCCGCGUGCAGGAAGAAGGUCUUCGGAUUGUAAACUGUUGUCGCAGGGGAAGAAGACAGUGACGGUACCCUGUGAGAAAGUCACGGCUAACUACGUGCCAGCAGCCGCGGUAAUACGUAGGUGACAAGCGUUGUCCGGAUUUACUGGGUGUAAAGGGCGCGUAGGCGGACUGUCAAGUCAGUCGUGAAAUACCGGAGCUCAACUCCGGAGCUGCGAUUGAAACUGACAGCCUUGAGUAUCGGAGAGGAAAGCGGAAUUCCUAGUGUAGCGGUGAAAUGCGUAGAUAUUAGGAGGAACACCAGUGGCGAAGGCGGCUUUCUGGACGACAACUGACGCUGAGGCGCGAAAGUGUGGGGAGCAAACAGG